rnacentral:lncRNA from 1 species
GUGCCCUGCCCUCAUGCCAAUCCUGCCCGGAGCUCCGUUCCCCGGUUACCGCAGCCCCAGCUCAAAGAAACUCUUUCGAUCUUAGAGGAACGCCGAAGUUCAGAGCCUGCUCCCUUCCCGGGCGGGUGUGUCCCGGCACCUCCGACUUCGCAGUUCGCUGAAUAAACCCUCUGGGAAACAAAGUAGCCUGAAGCGUCAAUCCCGUCUCGGUAGGAACCUCGUUAUUGCUGUCCGGCUCCGGCAGACCGCGACCCCCGGGGCGGCUCCGGCGGGACGCAGGUCCCGGACGCCGCAAGGGAGAGGGUGAUUGGCAGACUCACCUCUCCAGGAUGUAGGACUAAUGUUAGAAAGUGGACUGAUAUUGAAAUGUGGAUGUUGAAAUGUGAAUAGAGAAAAAGAGAAAGGGAGAGAGAGAGAGAAAAGGAGUGGAGAAGGACAGUCAGAUGCAAGGCUGUGAAAAGAGGGAGAGCGGGACCACCAAUAGAGAUAAGGUCAAAGCAGAGCUAGCUGACUCUCACAAAGUGGUUUAUUAACAAGACUUCUUUUUCCUUCUGAUUUUUGUUGUUAAGAAGAGGAGGCUUUUGUUCUGAAGACUGGUCUGUAAGACUAUAACAGUUAGAUAUUGCCAAAAAAAAAAAAAAAAACAAAAAGCAAGAGAUGUGAUACAUCUUGUGUUAAAUUUGGCCUAGUCUUUUUUUUAUUUUACUAAUUAUAGCUCACAGGAAGAAGAAUUGGCCUCUGCAGCUCUUAACACAGCUGGAUACAAGAAGAAGAAGCGGCUGUAGAAAAAGUUUUUAGUUAAACCCAGAAAGUUUUGAAGAAAACUAAUGGUAAAAGUUAAUGCAGUAUUGUUUUUUUUUUUGACACUGUGUUAUUAAGAAGUCCUUUCCAAGUGCUACUAAAAGCAGCAAUCCAAACCAUGGAAAAGAGGGUGUAUUCAUGACAACAAAGUAAAAGAAUUUGUGAAGAAACGUGAGGAAUGGACUAUCACAUCUAAACCAGGUGAUAAUAAAUUGACUUUCAACCAGGACUGGGUGGUAAUG